UCACCCCUCAAGCCUGGCUUGCUGUUGGACUCUUGGUUAAGCUUUGGCUUCAACCAGUCCCAAAGAUAAUGACGGCGUCUGUGAGGACCCCAGUACACUGAGCUUUCUAAGCACGUAUUAGGUGGAAGUCCAGGCCCGGUCUUACCCAUUUUAUUUACAAGGUUGACCUCGGAUCAGGUAGGGAUACCCGCUGAACUUAA
rnacentral:misc_RNA from 1 species